UACGGAGGGUGCGAGCGUUGUUCGGAAUUACUGGGCGUAAAGCGCGUGCAGGCGGUCGAUUAAGUCCGGUGUGAAAGCCCGGGGCUCACCCCCGGAAGUGCGCUGGAAACUGAUCAACUAGAGUACGGGAGAGGGAAGUGGAAUUCCUGGUGUAGCGGUGAAAUGCGUAGGUAUCAGGAGGAACACCGGCGGCGAAGGCGGCUUCCUGGACCGAUACUGACGCUGAGACGCGAAAGCGUGGGGAGCAAACAGG
rnacentral:rRNA from 1 species